rnacentral:lncRNA from 1 species
CAGGUGCAACUUGGUUUAAACAAGGUAUCCAAAUGGGCAGACGAGAACGGGUUCAGCCUUAACCCGCAAAAAACCACCUUUGUUCUGUUCUCUCGAAAGAUAGGCCUUCAUCCUGAUCCAGAUAUUGACCUGCAUGGUCAACAGCUCUCUGUGAAGACGGAGCACAAAUUCUUAGGCCUUAUCCUGGAUAAUAAGCUGACGUUCGUAUCACACAUUAAGCAUUUAAAAAACAAAUGCAUAAGGGCAAUGAA